rnacentral:rRNA from 1 species
AUUGAACGCUGGCGGCAGGCCUAACACAUGCAAGUCGAACGAGUGGCGGACGGGUGAGUAAUGUCUGGGAAACUGCCCGAUGGAGGGGGAUAACUACUGGAAACGGUAGCUAAUACCGCAUACCAUCGGAUGUGCCCAGAUGGGAUUAGCUUGUAGGUAAGGUAACGGCUCACCUAGGCGACGAUCCCUAGCUGGUCUGAGAGGAUGACCAGGCAAACGGGAAUGGAGACACGGUCAAGACGCCUACGGGAGGGAGCAGGGGGGAAGAUUGCAAAAGGGGCGCAAGCCUGAUGCAGCCAUGCCGGGGGUAGGAAGAAGGCCUUCGGGUUGUAAAGUACUUUCAGCGGGGAGGCGUUACCCGCAGAAGAAGCACCGGCUAACUCCGUGCCAGCAGCCGCGGUAAGAC